rnacentral:lncRNA from 1 species
GGGAUCUGUGACAUGCCUGGACUAUAGCAUAAACUCGGAUAAUUGACUCUGGGGCCCAGGCAUCUGGGCUAGCUUAGCAGCAGAUGUUCACAGUCACUUUCUAAAGCCAUCCUCGUGCUUCUGUGUUCUGGUGUUGUGCUUCUGAGGGGAUGUUGCUAAAUUUCUGAAGACGUCUCCUGCAUGUUGUAAAGCUCAGCUGCUCUCUGCUUAGCCCCCAGGCUGUCCUUGUGGGGACAUGGCAGGGAAGGGAGAAUUUGGAGGAGGUGACUAGAAGAGCGUUAAUUCUUGUUGGUUUAAUAUGCCUCAGUACUACAGAGUGAGAAAGCACAAACAGGAGCAGAACCAAGCCACCUAUAACGUGCAGUUUACAGUGAUGCCUGACUGCAAAGAGACUGUCAAAAUCCCAGUCCUUAUCUCUUCUAAAUGGACACAGCAUCACGCGGAGGUUGUCUUUCUGUCAUACUUGGUCCUUCACUGAGGCUUCAAUCAUCUUGUGUUGCAGUACUCAGCUGUCAUCACUCCAUUUCAGUGUGCCUGUCUCUGAGUGCUGCUGUACCAGACAGUGUGUUACUCUGGAACAGUACUUUGAGGGCCUGUGCAAUAGCCAGUGUGACAUAAGAAAACAUUUAAUAAAUGCAGUUGAAUUUAACUUAGCUAUGCUGAGGAUGAUUUCAGAUUCCUCUCCUCGGCACACUCCAUUCAGCUGUGUAGGAAGUAUUAGCUGUUUAAAAUUGUUCAGUAUUGCUAUGGCAACCCUCACUCUCCAGCAGCCUCUUAGCAGACUACACAGAAAUGCAUACACUUUUCAGGCAGGCUGUGUACCACUCUCCAGAUCUGGGGCUUUUUCCCUAAUGAAACACACAUCUAAUCCCAAUUACUUUUAAUUUGCCUCAUGAGCACAUACCAGUUUACUCUGUAAAAUUUGUUUCAUUACUUGGCCUACUGUAAAAGGCCAGACCUUAGAGACAUACACACAAAUCAGCUGAUUUAAGUGCAGUUACAGACUGAGACCAGCACUGCGUGGCUUCACAUAUAUGAUUCAGUGGUUCCUGCAUCAGACCUUACUGUCGCUGAAAGUAAUUUCCUUCUUCUUCACAGACCUGGGGUGAGGGGCAGGGAGAUUAAAGGAGAGGAGGAAUAUCACACACUUGCUGUGUUCAUUAGUCACACAAGGAGCACUGGAAGAGGGAGCUGGAGAGUAAGACUCUGUCUUGCAACAUUCACAGACAACAGUA